UGAUCGAAGAUCCUACACAGAGCGAGAUGACUCACUCCAUGGUUUACCAAGACCUGCAAGUUAGGGUUAGCUAGCGCUCACUUUACACACGGCACAGUAAACAAGUCAACAGAAAGAAUUGGCUUCGCUGUCUUGCGAUAACAUGUCAAUUUCCACCAGCUGCUCCAGGAUCAGGCUGCUGUCACUCACCUGUAAUGAUGAAAAUAACACAAUGAACUAGGCGGCACAGAGGAAGAUGCAGAUGAAGAGGAGGCUGGUCUUCUGACCGGCGGCUGGCUCCCAAACAUCUGCUGCUGCUGCUGCUGCUGCUGCUGCUGCUGCUGGCCGCCACUCUGCAGGUCCUCCAGCAGGUCCUCCAGCUCACUGGACUGAAAUCAGCCGCAGGAAAAAGACAGGAUUAGAAGAAAAGUAGUUUUGUUCCAUAAAUAACAAGACACAUUCCUACAACCAAAGCAAUUUAAAGACAUCAUUGUGGGACAGUUUCUUACUUCAGUUCCUUCUUAUUCUCAAGAGAAAUUCCAAAACAUACUCACAGGAUUUGAUUUCUGAUUUUCAUUUUUGAACAUUUCUCUUACAGUGUUUCCCCAAUUGGCCCUUUCCUCAUGAAGAUUUUAAUCAAGGCAUUAUCCUUGAAUUCAAUAUAUGAUUUCAACAUCGGAAAAAAAAACAUCACUGCAAGAAAACUUUGUAUUUUACUGCAAAGAAAAACCUUAUUUCUAAAAACAUGAUCUUGCUUUUGAAGAAGAGAACUUUCAGCUCAGGUGUAUUUUGAGGAGCUGAGAUUCCUCAAACAACUGCAAGAAAUAUGAAUAUAGUAUCAAAUACGCAUUAAGAAAACAGUAUUCCCCACCUUUUGGUUGUUUAAUCAAUAUAGCCAACAUGAAAUAACUAAAUGGUAUCAGGAUAAGAAGCGAAACAACAACUAGAAGAAAAGAAAAUGUCACGUAUUGAGAGCAAGACAUCAAAAUGUGAUAUCUACCUAAACUGAAAACCUACUUCAGUAUUACUGUGAAAUCUAACCUGCAUCUCACACACACACACACACACACACACACACACACACUGUGUACAGCACUGACAGGAAUGGUUUCCUCCGGCCGUUUGGCUGAUGAAUAGAGGAGGAGCUAAAAAUAAACUGCCGGCACUAAUGAGGACAUGUGUGAUGUACAGUAAGACACACAGUCACAGUUCUGUUUAGCCACAGCAUAUACACACACACACACACACACACACACACACAGAAUGAACAUAGCAUGGAGACACAUCAAGGGCAGCAUGUUGUCUACCGAAGCUUUGCCGUUGGUCACUAUUAUAAAACGAACUGUUGUCUGUCCGUUUCUACACACAAACAACCAAAUACAAAACUGUAACCUUGAAUAUUAGCGCAAUUACUUUAGCUUUGACUGCUAGUCCGAGCAGAGUGGUGCCACCUCAGCGUGAGUCUUGCCGGUUCUACCUGUCAGUGUAAACAGUUACAGUGGGUUCAUGCUAAACACCGUGAUGAUACGCAGGCUCAGGUGUCAUGUCUGAUCCAGUGUCAGUUAGCUAACAGGUUGCCGCCAAGUAA